CCAAACCUAGACAAGCAUGAAGAGACCUUUGCUGUUAAUCCCCAACUCAGAUAAUCUCUGACUUUUGAAAGAAUCAGACAAAUGGCUCACCCAUCUUCCAGUCCGUUCUUGAACUCCCCUGUGUAUAUUCGCCCAUCAGGCCAUUUUAACACUCCCCUGAAACAGAUUGAUAAGCUGAGUUAAAUAGUGUGUGUGUGUGUGUGUGUGUGCGUGUGUGUGUGUGUGUGUGUGUGUGUGUGUGUGUGCACUCGUAUUUCUUACUUUGUGAGGUCCAGUGGCAAGGAGCACACCAACGGUAUGGGGCCCUCAGACGGUGUGGGGCCCAAAAUGGUGGGCCCCACAACGUUUAUUGCUUUAAAUGAGCUCUGGAACCUCCCCUAAUGCCCCUGUUGCUUCUUCUUCACUUGGCCCACAAGGUAACAAAAAGUGGAAACGUGUGUUUGAAAUUAUUUGCUCUCUAUCGCCCCCUACUUCCGGUUUUCCCAUUUUCGCCGAUACACACCAAGUAGAAGUGUGUAAACUUUCAGCCAAUGAUACGGGACGUGGGCGGGGCUUAGCGAAUGCCGCGCUGUGGACCGGGCCUGCAGCUCAAUGGAUGACAGAGGAAGAGGGUCCAGCCGGCAGAAGAUGCAAUAUCGUGGGUUCUGUCUUCAAGGGACAAGCAGUGUUUUAUAGAAAAAUAUAUUGAUAGUUACAAAGUAUUGAUGCUUCCAAAGAAGACGGAUCCCUUGGAAGAUUGGUUAAUGAAAACAACAAAUAUCGAAACUGCACCAUACAACAAGCCAAACUUAUGCCUAUUUUCCAUUAAGCUUAUUGAGGUAGGAACCGAA